rnacentral:lncRNA from 1 species
AGAUUUGGUUAUGCACAGUAUCGCCUUUGUGUCAGGCCUCUCUGAACAUGUUUUAACACUUUGACAGCUGGGCAGCCUCAUGCGAGUUGACCAGAGCAGACUUGGGCUGGGACACAGGAGGCUUGAGUCUAGUCUACCCAAACUACCCCCCUCCAAGUCUCCUGGGACCCCAAACACUCCCUCAAUUGACUCACAGCAGGCUUGGUGGAAACAUCUUCCUGGUUAAUUUCUAUACCCCAACUCCAUCCCACUAGAAGCCGGAAUAAGUAUAUGCCCAGCCCCACCUGUUCCCCUCUCCACUGGGAAUAUGAAGACCAGCCAUUCCCAGAACAGCUCUUGGGAAAGAGCUGCAAUAAAAUAGCUUUUCUUAAAAAAAUCAUUUUUUACCUUCUUUCUCCUGCAACAAGUAGAUUACAAGACCUCUGAAUGCAGGGCCUUUGCAGGCUGAGCCUGCUCUGAUGGGCACACAGCCCAAGAGGGUGGAAGGCACCAUCUUUCAGCUCCUACUCCUCUGAGCAGGCCUCAUUUGGCAAAGUAUGUGAGAGUGUCCUGCUGUCCUCUGGAACCCCACACCUGCCCAACCUCAGUCCUUGUGGUGCUGCUGGAGGGGUGGCAUUACAGACACACCAGAUUCUCCCA